GCUUGUCAACAUCUCCCUUCAAUUGCAGUGCCCAGAAUUGGACACAGUAUUCCAGGUGUGGUCUGACCAAGGCAGAAUAGAGAGCAAUCUUCAGAAGUCCAUGAACCAGGAACGAUGGAACAAGCCAGUGACAAGGACUAAACUGGAAAAUCAAGACAUCAAAGGGCAAACCAGGAUACAAGGUCAGAAGUGAGUAUUGAUCAAUGGCCAGGUUUACAGGAACAUCUGAGAGCUCAGGAAAAUCUUUGUAAUCAAAAAUCAACAAAAUCAGGAAACCUUCUUUUCUGCCCAAGAUUCUGGACAGCCUAAGUAUGUGGAGUCAUGCUAUAG
rnacentral:lncRNA from 1 species